rnacentral:tRNA from 1 species
GGCAACAUGGCCGAGUGGUUAAGGCGAAAGACUCGAAUGUUCGGCUUAUCGAAUGUCAUGCAAUCUUUUGGGUUCGCCCGCGUCAGUUCGAAUCUGGCUGUUGUCG